rnacentral:rRNA from 1 species
UACGUAGGGUGCAAGCGUUGUCCGGAAUUAUUGGGCGUAAAGAGCUCGUAGGCGGUCUGUCGCGUCGGAUGUGAAAACCCAGGGCUCAACCCUGGGCCGGCAGGCGAUACGGGCAGACUUGAGUACUGCAGGGGAGACUGGAAUUCCUGGUGUAGCGGUGAAAUGCGCAGAUAUCAGGAGGAACACCGAUGGCGAAGGCAGGUCUCUGGGCCGAUACUGACGCUGAGGAGCGAAAGCGUGGGGAGCGAACAGG